rnacentral:rRNA from 1 species
GAGGAAUAAAUAGGUAACGUACCUUAAGCUUCAGGAUAGCGUCUGAGAGCUUCGGCUCUCUUCCGAAAGGGGCAUUAAUACUGAAUAAUAUCACUGGCUUAACUGCUUGUGAUCAAAGAUUCAUCGGCUUUUGAGCGGCCUAUUUCCUAUCAGCUUGUUGGUGAGGUAACGGCUCACCAAGGCGACGACGGGUAGCGGGACUGAGAGGUUGGCCCGCCACAUCGGGACUGAGACACUGCCCGGACCUCCACGGAGGGCUGCAGUAACGAAUAUUGGGCAAUGGGCGAAAGCCUGACCCAGCAAUGCCGCGUGCGGGAGGAAGCCCUUCGGGGUGUAAACCGCUUUCAGGAGCAAGAAAGCUACGGUUGAUCAGCUCCAGAAGAAGUCACGGCUAACUUCGUGCCAGCAGCCGCGGUAAUACGAAGGUGGCUAGCGUUAUUCGAAAUCACUGGGCUUAAAGGGCGCGCAGGCGGACAUGAUAGUGUUCUGUGAAAUCCCCCGGCUUAACCGGGGAAUGGCAGGGCAUACUACAUGUCUUGAGUCAAGUAGGGGUGUGUGGAACUCUUGGUGGAGCGGUGGAAUGCGUAGAUAUCAAGAGGAACGCCGAAGGUGAAGACAGCACACUGGGCUUGAACUGACGCUGAGGCGCGAAAGCGUGGGGAGCAAACUGGAUUAGAUACCCUGGUAGUCCACGCCGUAAUCGAUGUGUACUAGGUUGCGGAGGUUCUGACACCCUCGCAGUAGCAGCAAAAGUGUUAUGUACACCGCCUGGGGAGUACGGUCGCAAGGCUAAAACUCAAAGGAAUUGACGGGGGCUCACACAAGCGGUGGAGCAUGUGGAUUAAUUCGAAGCAACGCGCAGAACCUUGCCUGGGUGUGACAUGCUAGGAUGCCCGUCGGGAAACAGAUUCGGCUGCCUUCGGGUGAAACUAGCACAGAUGCUGCAUGGCUGUCGUCAGCUCGUGUCGUGAGAUGUCGGGUUAAGUCCUUUAACGAGCGAAACCCUUACCGUUAGUAGCCAUCGGGUCAUGCCGGGGACUCUAGCGGGACUCCCGGUGUCAAACCGGAGGAAGGCGGG